AACGUAGGAGGCGAGCGUUAUCCGGAAUUACUGGGCGUAAAGGGCGUGCAGGUGGUCUGUUAAGUUACUCGUGAAAGCGCCCGGCUCAACUGGGCGAGGUCGAGUAAGACUGGCAAACUAGAGGGCAGGAGAGGGACGUGGAAUUCCGGGUGUAGUGGUGAAAUGCGUAGAGAUCCGGAGGAACACCAGAGGCGAAGGCGGCGUCCUAGCCUGCAACUGACACUGAGACGCGAAAGCAUGGGGAGCGAACGGG
rnacentral:rRNA from 1 species